rnacentral:rRNA from 1 species
AUGAAUUGCAUUGUUUGGAACUGCCGGGGUGCGGGGAACACCUCGACAGUUCGUGAUCUCGUGGCUCUCACUCGAGCCCAUUCCCCGAGCUUUGUCUUUCUAUGUGAAACUAGGCAGCAAAAAGAUAAGAUGUAUCGUCUUCGUAAUCGUGUUGGUCUGCGUGGUUUUGAAGGAGUUAGUAGUGAGGGUAGUAGUGGUGGAUUAGCUUUGUUUUGGGACGAGUCUUUGUACGUUGAUAUUCGUGAUUGCAAUAAAAGAUGGAUUGAUGUGUAUGUC